GGCGAGCUCCAGCGAGGCAGCAGAAGACGCGUUUUCAGUUCCAGAAGGAGCCACGGCGUGCCCUCGCCUGACCUGGGCACAGCUCUGGGUGCUUUUCAGCAGAACUGAUUGAUAGGGCCCUCCUGAGGGCCCAACCAGGGGGAGCCAACGGCUGUGUGUGGCGGACUUGGCAGGCAGAGGCAGCCUGCGGGCAGCCACAGCGGACAGCACAGCGGCCCCCACCUGGGAGGUGGCUCCCAGGACAGAAUGCCUCACUGGCCCGGGGCUGCAGGAAGCCUGGGGGGCGGCCGUUCUGCCAGGCCAAGUCCCAAGUGCAAGCUUCACUGACAGCACUGUUUGGGGGACUGACGGCACCGUUUGGGGUAUGGACGGCACCGUCUGGGCAACGGACGGCACCAUCUGGGGUGCAGACGGCACCAUCUGGGGGACGGACGGCACUGUCUG
rnacentral:lncRNA from 1 species